GACGGAGGGGGCAAGCGUUGUUCGGAAUUAUUGGGCGUAAAGGGCGCGUAGGCGGAUCGGCGUGUCCGGCGUGAAAUCUCCACCGCUCAACGGGGAGAAGCCGCUGGAAACUACCGAUCUGGAGUUCGGCAGAGGGCCAUGGAAUUCCAGGUGUAGCGGUGGAAUGCGUAGAUAUCUGGAAGAACACCUGUGGCGAAGGCGGUGGCCUGGGCCGAAACUGACGCUGAGGCGCGAAAGCCAGGGGAGCAAACGGG
rnacentral:rRNA from 1 species